GGUCUUGUAGUGUAGCGGUUAUCACACGGGAUUCUGAUUCCCGUAACCCCGAUUCGAAUUCGGGCAGGACCU